AGUAAACGCUGGCGGCGUGCUUAACACAUGCAAGUCGUACGGAAAUUAGUUUAUAGUUUGGGGUGAUUGGUUUGUAGCUUGCUACAAACUAUGAACUUUUAGACUAUGAACUGAUUUUAGUGGCAAACGGGUGAGUAAUACCUAAAUAAUCUACCCUUAAGAGGGAAAUAACUUCGAGAAAUCGGAACUAAUGUCCCAUAUUGCCCUGAACGGAUAACUGUUCGGGAUGAAAGGGUCUUCUUCUGGAGGACCGCUUAAGGAUGAGUUUAUGUCCUAUUAGCCAGUUGGUAGGGUAAUGGCCUACCAAAGCUAUGAUGGGUAGCUGGCCUGAAAGGGCGAUCAGCCACACUGGCACUGAAACACGGGCCAGACUCCUACGGGAGGCAGCAGUGGGGAAUUUUGGACAAUGGGCGAAAGCCUGAUCCAGCAACGCCGCGUGGGGGAUGAAGGUCUUCGGAUUGUAAACCUCUUUUAGAGGGGAUGAGCUCCGACGCAAGUCGGGGGGACAGUACUCUCAGAAUAAGCCACGGCUAACUACGUGCCAGCAGCCGCGGUAAUACGUAGGUGGCGAGCGUUACUCGGAAUUACUAGGUGUAAAGGGCAGGUAGGUGGUUUGAUAAGUUGAGGGUGAAAGCCCUGAUAAAAUUUGGGAGGUCUCUCAAUACUAUCAGACUUGAGUAUGGUAGGGGGAACCAGAAUUCCCGGUGUAGCGGUGAAAUGCGUAGAUAUCGGGAAGAAUACCGAUGGCUAAAGCGGGUUCCUGGGCCAUUACUGACACUGAGCUGCGAAAGCGUGGGGAGCAAACAGGAUUAGAUACCCUGGUAGUCCACGCCGUAAACGAUGGAAACUUGAUAUGGGGGGUAUCGACCCCCUCCGUGUCGAAGCUAACGCGUUAAGUUUCCCACCUGGGGAGUACGGCCGCAAGGUUGAAACUCAAAGGAAUUGACGGGGGCCCGCACAAGCGGUGGAGCAUGUGGUUUAAUUCGACGCAACGCGAAGAACCUUACCCGGGCUUGAAGUGCUAAUAGUAUCCCGUCGAAAGAUGUGGAGAUCCGAAAGGAAGUUAGCAGAGGUGCUGCAUGGUUGUCGUCAGCUCGUGUCGUGAGAUGUAUGGUUAGGUCCCAUAACGAGCGCAACCCUUGCCUCAUGUUGCUAUUCAGGCGUAAGCUUGAAGCACUCUUGAGGGACCGCCUCCGUUGAGGGGGAGGAAGAUGAGGAUGACGUCAAAUCAUCAUGGCCUUUAUGUCCGGGGCAACACACGUGCUACAAUGGCCACUACAGAUGGAAACCAACCCGCAAGGGGGAGUAAAUCCAUAAAAAGUGGCCCCAGUUCAGAUUGAGGGCUGCAAUUCGCCCUCAUGAAGGAGGAAUCGCUAGUAAUCGCUGAUCCGCAGGCAGCGGUGAAUACGUUCCCGGGCCUUGUACACACCGCCCGUCACACCAUGGAAGCUGGCUGUAACAGAAUCUUGAUGGUCUAUUGAGAGAAGUUAUGGUUGGUGACUGGGGUG
rnacentral:rRNA from 1 species